UUUGUUAAGUCAGAUGUGAAAUCCCCGGGCUCAACCUGGGAACUGCAUCUGAUACUGGCAAGCUUGAGUCUCGUAGAGGGGGGUAGAAUUCCAGGUGUAGCGGUGAAAUGCGUAGAGAUCUGGAGGAAUACCGGUGGCGAAGGCGGCCCCCUGGACGAAGACUGACGCUCAGGUGCGAAAGCGUGGGGAGCAAACAGGAUUAGAUACCCUGGUAGUCCACGCCGUAAACGAUGUCGACUUGGAGGUUGUGCCCUUGAGGCGUGGCUUCCGGAGCUAACGCGUUAAGUCGACCGCCUGGGGAGUACGGCCGCAAGGUUAAAACUCAAAUGAAUUGACGGGGGCCCGCACAAGCGGUGGAGCAUGUGGUUUAAUUCGAUGCAACGCGAAGAACC
rnacentral:rRNA from 1 species